rnacentral:rRNA from 1 species
UCUUAGUGGCGGACGGGUGAGUAACGCGUGGGUAACCUGCCUUAUACAGGGGGAUAACACUUAGAAAUAGGUGCUAAUACCGCAUAAGCGCACGGGGCUGCAUGGCCCAGUGUGAAAAACUCCGGUGGUAUAAGAUGGACCCGCGUCUGAUUAGCUUGUUGGCGGGGUAACGGCCCACCAAGGCGACGAUCAGUAGCCGGCCUGAGAGGGUGGACGGCCACAUUGGGACUGAGACACGGCCCAAACUCCUACGGGAGGCAGCAG